ACGAAAUUAUAACCAUCCACUUAUACCUUAACAAUGCCUUACAAUAAGCCUAUAACAAAUUGACCAUACAUGUCGAAAGAGACCUAGAACGCUCGGGAACGAGAUAGACUACUAGGAUGCCGACAGCCAUAGUUAAGAUCCUGAUUUUUUCGGUUAAAUACAAAUCUAUAGAAAAAAGAACUUAUGGACACGGUCACAUAUUCAGUCAGCUCACUUUCGUGUUCCUCCGGUCUAGUCAGCGACGCCAUUAUGCUUUAGCGUAACUUCUUAGAGGUCCCCGAUGAAAAGACGGUUGUCCGCACCUACGAAAGAUAUUCUUCAGGUCGCAAACCUACGCUUCGUGAUGCUGCGAUUCGUAGAAAGAAGGACCAACAAAUGGUGAAUAGUAAUGAGGAGAGAGUGAAAGCAAGGGACGCAAAGACUUCGUCGUAAGUGCUUCGUGUUAAUGGAGGGAAGUUGGGCAGGCGUCUGUGAGCGGGAAUGUGGCCCGUCGACGAACGAAAACAACGAACGAUUGCUUAUCCGGUUUUUCCAAAGCGGUAACGUGUUGGCAUCGUAUGACUCGUACGUGCUGCUUCGCACCGGAGGAAGUGCUGUGAAGCACUCCAAGUACUUCGUGAAUUCGGUUCAAAAUAGAUGUGAUUAGCUGUUGACUAUUUUUGAGUGGCUCCAUGAAGCCAGUUAUGCACCGAUCCGUGCUGUCAACCGGAGAAACGAUCCGAGUUUUCCCGCUUCUUCUUCAAGGACGCUCACUGUUAUCGGCUGUGUGGGUCGAUAUGUUUCCCGUAAACAUGUGAGACGAAUGAGAUUCACUGAUUAACGAAGGGCGUGUUGUUGCCAGCAAGGUCAAUCGGAGACCUUGACAUGGCUAGAUACGAGAACUGCCUAGCCGGACAAAUAGUCAUCUCAGACUGGAUUUGAUUCACAUUAACAGUACGUACAAUGAAGAAAAAAGGGUUCAAAUUCAAGCACGGCGAAAAAUAUCAUUGCUAUUGAUAUAUAAAACAAUUAAUAAAAACACUAUGCAAAAUUCGCUUCAAGGGCUUGCUUGACGACUACCAUGCGGUGUAUCCUGCGUCAACCGUAACCAAAGGAAUCAAUACUAACAUUUAUUUCUAUUAGAUGCU